rnacentral:rRNA from 1 species
UACGUAGGGUGCAAGCGUUGUCCGGAAUUAUUGGGCGUAAAGCGCACGUAGGCGGCUUUGCAAGUCGGAUGUGAAAUCCCUCGGCUUAACCAAGGAAGUGCAUCCGAAACUGCAGAGCUUGAGUACUUAAGAGGAUCGCGGAAUUCCCGGUGUAGAGGUGAAAUUCGUAGAUAUCGGGAGGAACACCGGUGGCGAAGGCGGCGAUCUGGGAAGAUACUGACGCUGAGGUGCGAAAGCGUGGGGAGCAAACAGG